rnacentral:rRNA from 1 species
AGCGGUAGAGAGGUGCUUGCACCUCCUUGAGAGCGGCGGACGGGUGAGUAAAGCCUAGGAAUCUGCCUGGUAGUGGGGGAUAACGCUCGGAAACGGACGCUAAUACCGCAACGUCCUACGGGAGAAAGCAGGGGACCUUCGGGCCUUGCGCUAUCAGAUGAGCCUAGGUCGGAUUAGCUAGUUGGUGAGGUAAUGGCUCACCAAGGCGACGAUCCGUAACUGGUCUGAGAGGAUGAUCAGUCACACUGGAACUGAGACACGGUCCAGACUCCUACGGGAGGCAGCAGUGGGGAAUAUUGGACAAUGGGCGAAAGCCUGAUCCAGCCAUGCCGCGUGUGUGAAGAAGGUCUUCGGAUUGUAAAGCACUUUAAGUUGGGAGGAAGGGCAUUAACCUAAUACGUUAGUGUUUUGACGUUACCGACAGAAUAAGCACCGGCUAACUCUGUGCCAGCAGCCGCGGUAAUACAGAGGGUGCAAGCGUUAAUCGGAAUUACUGGGCGUAAAGCGCGCGUAGGUGGUUCGUUAAGUUGGAUGUGAAAUCCCCGGGCUCAACCUGGGAACUGCAUUCAAAACUGUCGAGCUAGAGUAUGGUAGAGGGUGGGUGGAAUUUCCUGUGUAGCGGUGAAAUGCGUAGAUAUAGGAAGGAACACCAGUGGCGAAAGGCGACCACCUGGGACUGAUACUGACACUGAUGUGCGAAAGCGUGGGGGAGCAAACAGGGAUGAGAUACCCCUGGUCAGUCCACGGCCUUACACCAAUGUCUACCUAGCCUUUUGGGGAGCCCUUGAG